rnacentral:ncRNA from 1 species
GAGUUACGUUGAGAGGAGAGAUGUUUAGCAACUCCCUUGACAAGGACGAGAGCAAGACUUCGGUCUUCUCACAAACCUUCGGGUUAAGGCAAACCCAAUUUUGC